rnacentral:rRNA from 1 species
AAUCAACGCUGGCGGCGUGCCUCAGACAUGCAAGUCGAACGAGAAAGUCCCCUUCGGGGGGAUAAGUAAAGUGGCGCACGGGUGAGUAACACGUAGGUAAUCUACCUUCGGGUGGGGAAUAACCCAGGGAAACUUGGGCUAACACCGCAUAAUGCAGCGGCACCACAUGGUGACAGUUGUUAAAGCGGGGGAUUUUCGGACCUCGCGCCUGAAGAGGAGCCUGCGGCGGAUUAGCUAGUUGGUAAGGAACGGCUUACCAAGGCAACGAUCCGUAGCCGGCCUGAGAGGGCGGUCGGCCACACUGACACUGACAUACGGGUCAGACUCCUACGGGAGGCAGCAGUCGGGAAUUUUGGGCAAUGGGCGAAAGCCUGACCCAGCAACGCCGCGUGAAGGAU